rnacentral:misc_RNA from 1 species
CCGUUGUCAAUUGAUGCAACUUCUGGGGUCACUCUAGCCUUUGUUUAUUGGUGACAGUCACAGAGCUAUUCAUUUCGUUUGAUGCAGAGCACACAGAUGAUAGACAACUCAACAACUUGCGUCAAUAUAGAACUCUUUAUAACUUAAUUAAAACCAUGGUACAAUUUUAAAAUGAAUGAAAUUGCCAUGAAAUCCACAUAAUUCCAUAAUCACUUGUAAAUUUCUCACUCACAAAGAACCAUCUGCAUUACCAUUGCUGCUGCCUCCUCUCCUGCUUGCUGUUGUAUUUUUCAAUAUCUGCAACAAAAAAUUUGAAAUAUCACAAAUUUUAUAACCAACCACAGAAGGGUAGCCCCCGAACCGAUUUCAGCAAUUCCGAUUCAAGGCUCAGGGGAUUGAAAUUUGAAACCGAACUAAAGGGUCCUCUCUGUUCAACUCCAGCUCGGUUCAAAUCACCACUUGCUCCCACCUGCUUCCAAACUUUGUACCAUAAAGUUUCAGCAUAAAUUUCAAUAGCCAUCCAUAAAUUUUAAGAGUUAUAAUUAAAUUUUAAGAGUUAUAAUUAAAUUAUACUUGAACUUAAAAUAUAACAUAAAAUUUCUUAAAUUUUAAAAUUUUACAAAACAAAAUCUUAUUGACUCCCAAUAAUCAAUUUAUAAGUAAAAUUAAUGUGGACAAUCCAAAAUAACAAUAACAGGAUAGUGAUAAUUGUCACUGUUUUUUUUUUUUUUUUAAGGCAGAGUCUCUCUAAUAUGUUAUUAUACAUCUAAUACUUUAUUAAUUUAUAAGGCUUAAAAUUUUUUUAUAGUUAAUCUGUGGAAAAAAAUCAUAAUUGAUUUUACCACUAUCACAUAA